rnacentral:rRNA from 1 species
AGUGAACGCUGGCGGUAGGCCUAACACAUGCAAGUCGAACGGCAGCACAGUAAGAGCUUGCUCUUACGGGUGGCGAGUGGCGGACGGGUGAGGAAUACAUCGGAAUCUACUUUUUCGUGGGGGAUAACGUAGGGAAACUUACGCUAAUACCGCAUACGACCUACGGGUGAAAGCAGGGGAUCUUCGGACCUUGCGCGAUUGAAUGAGCCGAUGUCGGAUUAGCUAGUUGGCGGGGUAAAGGCCCACCAAGGCGACGAUCCGUAGCUGGUCUGAGAGGAUGAUCGGCCACACUGGAACUGAGACACGGUCCAGACUCCGACGGGAGGCAGCAGUGGGGAAUAUUGGACAAUGGGCGCAAGCCUGAUCCAGCCAUACCGCGUGGGUGAAGAAGGCCUUCGGGUUGUAAAGCCCUUUUGUUGGGAAAGAAAAGCAGCAGGUUAAUACCCCGCUGUUCUGACGGUACCCAAAGAAUAAGCACCGGCUAACUUCGU